rnacentral:lncRNA from 7 species
UAUGUCCCCCAUGUCCCCAUGUCCCCAUGUCCCCAUGUCCCCCUAUGUCCCCCACAUCCCCCUCCCAUGUCCCCUGUGUCCCCUGUGUCCCCUAUGUCCCCCUCCCCAUGUCCCUUGUCCCCACGUCCCCCUAUGUCCCCACAUCCCCCUCCCAUGUCCCCACGUCCCCCUAUGUCCCCCACAUCCCCCCAUCCCCCCAUGUCCCCAUGUCCCCCUCCCAUGUCCCUAUGUCCCCAUGUCCCCAUGUCCCCACGUCCCCCUCCCAUGUCCCCAUGUCCCCAUGUCCCCUAUGUCCCCCUCCCAUGUCCCCAUGUCCCCCUAUGUCCGCCAUAUCCCCCUCCCAUGUCCCCAUGUCCCCAUGUCCCCACAUCUGUCCCCUCCCCCCCCCGUGACCGCUGUCCCCGUACCCCUCAGGUCCCCCCCAGUUUCGGAGCCACCCCCAUUGUCACCUCCCGCUGUCACCUCGCAGACCCCAUACCCCGAUGUCACCUCCCCGAGCACGGAGGGGACAGAAGAGAAGGUACGUGGGGACACGGGGGGGGGACACUGCCACCAUGGGGGGGUGACAAUGUCACCAUGGGGGGUGACAAUGUCACCAUAGGGGGUGUGACAAUGUCACCAUGGGGGUGAUACUGCCACCAUAGGGGGUGACAAUGUCACCAUGGGGGUGACACCACUAUCAUGGAGGGCUGACACUGCCACCAUGGGGGGGGGGGUGUGACAAUGUCGCCAUAGCGGGUGACAAUGUCACCAUGGGGGUGACAGUGCCACCAUGGGGGGUGACACUGCCACCAUAUGGGGGUGACACCACCAUCAUGGAGGGCUGACAAUGCCACUAUAGGGGGGUGACAAUGUCACCAUAGAGGUGACCAUGUCACCAUAGAGGGGUGGC